rnacentral:tRNA from 1 species
UCCCUGGUGGUUCAGUGGUUAGGACUUUAUGCUUCCACUGCAAGGGGCACAGGUUUGAUCCCUGGUCAGGGAA